AGAGUUUGAUCCUGGCUCAGAGUGAACGCUGGCGGCGUGCUUAACACAUGCAAGUCGAACGAUGAAGCUCUAGCUUGCUAGAGUGGAUUAGUGGCGCACGGGUGAGGAAUAUAUAGCUAAUGUGCCCCUUAGAGGGGGAUAACAGUUGGAAACGACUGCUAAUACCCCAUACUCCUUCUUGUCAUAAGAGAAGUUGGGAAAGUUUUUUCGCUAAGGGAUCGGGCUAUACGGUAUCAGCUUGUUGGUGAGGUAAUGGCUCACCAAGGCUAUGACGCCUAACUGGUCUGAGAGGAUGAUCAGUCACACUGGAACUGAGACACGGUCCAGACUCCUACGGGAGGCAGCAGUGGGGAAUAUUGCACAAUGGGGGAAACCCUGAUGCAGCAACGCCGCGUGGAGGAUGACACAUUUCGGUGCGUAAACUCCUUUUAUAUGGGAAGAUAAUGACGGUACCAUAUGAAUAAGCACCGGCUAACUCCGUGCCAGCAGCCGCGGUAAUACGGAGGGUGCAAGCGUUACUCGGAAUCACUGGGCGUAAAGCGCGCGCAGGCGGCCCCUUAAGUUGGAUGUGAAAUCCUAUGGCUCAACCAUAGAACUGCAUCCAAAACUGAGGGGCUAGAGUCUGGGAGGGGAAGAUGGAAUUAGUGGUGUAGGGGUAAAAUCCGUAGAGAUCACUAGGAAUACCAAAAGCGAAGGCGAUCUUCUGGAACAGUACUGACGCUGAGGCGCGAAAGCGUGGGGAGCAAACAGGAUUAGAUACCCUGGUAGUCCACGCCCUAAACUAUGAAUGUUAGUCGUCGGGAAGCUUGUCUUCUCGGUGAUGCAGCUAACGCAUUAAACAUUCCGCCUGGGGAGUACGGUCGCAAGAUUAAAACUCAAAGGAAUAGACGGGGACCCGCACAAGUGGUGGAGCAUGUGGUUUAAUUCGAAGAUACGCGAAGAACCUUACCUGGUCUUGACAUUGAUAGAAUCUGCUAGAGAUAGUGGAGUGCCCUUCGGGAGCUUGAAAACAGGUGCUGCACGGCUGUCGUCAGCUCGUGUCGUGAGAUGUUGGGUUAAGUCCCGCAACGAGCGCAACCCUCGUCGCUAGUUACUAACGGUUCGGCCGAGGACUCUAGUGAGACUGCCUUCGUAAGGAGGAGGAAGGUGAGGACGACGUCAAGUCAUCAUGGCCCUUACGGCCAGGGCGACACACGUGCUACAAUGGGAUGUACAAUGAGACGCAAUACCGCGAGGUGGAGCAAAUCUAUAAAGCAUCUCUCAGUUCGGAUUGUAGUCUGCAACUCGACUACAUGAGGCUGGAAUCACUAGUAAUCGUAGAUCAGCCAUGCUACGGUGAAUACGUUCCCGGGUCUUGUACUCACCGCCCGUCACACCAUGGGAGUUGAUUUCACCCGAAGCGGGGAAGCUAAAUUGGCUACCCUCCACGGUGGGAUCAGCGACUGGGGUGAAGUCGUAACAAGGUAACC
rnacentral:rRNA from 1 species